GACGAACGCUGGCGGGGUGUUUAACACAUGCAAGUCGAACGCUGAAGCCCAGCUUUUGUUGGGUGGAUGAGUGGCGAACGGGUGAGUAACACGUGAGUAACCUGCCCCCUUCUUUGGGAUAACGCCCGGAAACGGGUGCUAAUACUGGAUAUUCACUGGUCUUCGCAUGGGGGUUGGUGGAAAGGGUUUUUCUGGUGGGGGAUGGGCUCGCGGCCUAUCAGCUUGUUGGUGGGGUGAUGGCCUACCAAGGCUUUGACGUGUAGCCGGCCUGGGAGGGUGACCGGUCACAGUGGGACUGAGGUACGGCCCAGACUCCUACGGGAGGCAGCAGUGGGGAAUAUUGCGCAAUGGGCGCAAUCCUGAUGCAGCGGCGCCGCGUGAGGGAUGGAGGCCUUCGGGUUGUGAACCUCUUUCGCUCAUGAUCAAGCCGCAACAAUGGUUGUGGUGAGGGUAGUGGGUAAAGAAGCGCCGGCUAACUACGUG
rnacentral:rRNA from 1 species